AGCUGAGACGCGUGAAGAAGAGAUCACUUACGCUGAGACGACAUUCAACAAAAGAAGCACACAGAAAUCGAAAGUUGAAAAGGAGGAUUGUGUGGUUUAUGCACCAAUCGCAACGAGAUUAUGAUGAUCAAACUUCAGUCUUUUUCCGAGUGCCACACCCAGAUUGUGAGAUCAUUUCACUAAGAACCUCCCGAACAACCUCAGACUCUGAGUCAACGGUUGAGUUUUGGGAUUGUGAGAAUCACCGUAUGUUUCAUCAGGAAAUCACAGCAGACACGCAGCAGGAUCAUCCCGAAGGGGUUUAAAGUGUGAUAUUAACAAUGGAUUUAUUAAAUGCUCUCCUAAAAACCUCAAAA